AAUACUUGAAGUUGAAGAAGCUUUGAAUCGAAAGACCCUAGUGGUCUUCUUCUUCACACACUCGAUUCACAAAUUCAAACCAAAACUCGUGUCAAACCAGUUUCUAAUCUUGAGAUUUAGCUUCAAAAUGAAGUUUCCGGCAGGUAUCAUAAACACCCAAUCGAAUCCACAUUCUGAUUUGAGGGAUUUUGAUUUGGGAUUUCUAUAUCUGGAC
rnacentral:lncRNA from 1 species